AGUGAACGCUGGCGGUAGGCCUAACACAUGCGAGUCGAACGGCAGCACAGUAAGAGCUUGCUCUUACGGGUGGCGAGUGGCGGACGGGUGAGGAAUACAUCGGAAUCUACUUUUUCGUGGGGGAUAACGUAGGGAAACUUACGCUAAUACCGCAUACGACCUACGGGUGAAAGCAGGGGAUCUUCGGACCUUGCGCGAUUGAAUGAGACGAUGUCGGAUUAGCUAGUUGGCGGGGUAAAGGCCCACCAAGGCGACGAUCCGUAGCUGGUCUGAGAGGAUGAUCAGCCACACUGGAACUGAGACACGGUCCAGACUCCUACGGGAGGCAGCAGUGGGGAAUAUUGGACAAUGGGCGCAAGCCUGAUCCAGCCAUACCGCGUGGGUGAAGAAGGCCUUCGGGUUGUAAAGCCCUUUUGUUGGGAAAGAAAAGCAGCAGGUUAAUACCCCGCUGUUCUGACGGUACCCAAAGAAUAAGCACCGGCUAACUUCGUG
rnacentral:rRNA from 1 species